rnacentral:rRNA from 1 species
GAUCAUGGCUCAGGAUGAACGCUAGCUACAGGCUUAACACAUGCAAGUCGAGGGGCAGCAUGAUCUUAGCUUGCUAAGAUGAUGGCGACCGGCGCACGGGUGAGUAACGCGUAUCCAACCUUCCCUGUACUAGGGGAUAGCCCGGCGAAAGUCGGAUUAAUACCCUAUGUUUUCCGAAGCGAGCAUUUAAUUUGGAACAAAGGUUUACCGGUAUAGGAUGGGGAUGCGUCUGAUUAGAUAGUAGGCGGGGCAACGGCCCACCUAGUCGACGAUCAGUAGGGGUUCUGAGAGGAAGGUCCCCCACAUUGGAACUGAGACACGGUCCAAACUCCUACGGGAGGCAGCAGUGAGGAAUAUUGGUCAAUGGACGAGAGUCUGAACCAGCCAAGUAGCGUGCAGGAUGACGGCCCAAUGGGUUGUAAACUGCUUUUAUAUAGGGAUAAAGUGAGGGACGUGUCCCUUAUUGUAGGUACUAUAUGAAUAAGGACCGGCUAAUUCCGUGCCAGCCGCCGC